UACAACUCGAAGAAGACAAAAGUCUUGCACUGACUUGGGCUGUGCAGCUAAGGGAUUCCCUUGUGUUGAUACGGAAACUGCCAGCGGGUGCGAUGCUACAGACGACACCUUGUGUGGAACAAGCUGCACAUGCUGCAUAAUGUGCAACCAAACUACCGAAUGCAAAGGAUAUGGUGGCAGUUGCAGUAAGAUCUCAGCUGGAUGUUCAGGCACUUCCUAUGACGCAGGAUGCGCAGCUUCAACUUGCACUUGCUGCAUUGCUGGUAA